rnacentral:rRNA from 1 species
AUUGAACGCUGGCGGCAUGCCUUACACAUGCAGGUCGAACGGCAGCGCGGGGCAACCUGGCGGCGAGUGGCGAACGGGUGAGUAAUAUAUCGGAACGUACCCUGGAGUGGGGGAUAACGUAGCGAAAGUUACGCUAAUACCGCAUACGAUCUAAGGAUGAAAGUGGGGGAUUCGCAAGAACCUCAUGCUCCUGGAGCGGCCNAUAUCUGAUUAGCUAGUUGGUAGGGUAAAAGCCUACCAAGGCAUCGAUCAGUAGCUGGUCUGAGAGGACGACCAGCCACACUGGAACUGAGACACGGUCCAGACUCCUACGGGAGGCAGCAGUGGGGAAUUUUGGACAAUGGGCGCAAGCCUGAUCCAGCAAUGCCGCGUGAGUGAAGAAGGCCUUCGGGUUGUAAAGCUCUUUUGUCAGGGAAGAAACGGGUUUUUCUAAUACAGAGAUCUAAUGACGGUACCUGAAGAAUAAGCACCGGCUAACUACGUGCCAGCAGCCGCGGUAAUACGUAGGGUGCAAGCGUUAAUCGGAAUUACUGGGCGUAAAGCGUGCGCAGGCGGUUUUGUAAGACUGUCGUGAAAUCCCCGGGCUCAACCUGGGAAUGGCGAUGGUGACUGCAAGGCUAGAGUUUGGCAGAGGGGGGUAGAAUUCCACGUGUAGCAGUGAAAUGCGUAGAUAUGUGGAGGAACACCGAUGGCGAAGGCAGCCCCCUGGGUCAAAACUGACGCUCAUGCACGAAAGCGUGGGGAGCAAACAGGAUUAGAUACCCUGGUAGUCCACGCCCUAAACGAUGUCUACUAGUUGUCGGGUUUUAAUUAACUUGGUAACGCAGCUAACGCGUGAAGUAGACCGCCUGGGGAGUACGGUCGCAAGAUUAAAACUCAAAGGAAUUGACGGGGACCCGCACAAGCGGUGGAUGAUGUGGAUUAAUUCGAUGCAACGCGAAAAACCUUACCUACCCUUGACAUGGCAGAAAUCCUCGAGAGAUUGAGGAGUGCUCGAAAGAGAAUCUGCACACAGGUGCUGCAUGGCUGUCGUCAGCUCGUGUCGUGAGAUGUUGGGUUAAGUCCCGCAACGAGCGCAACCCUUGUCAUUAGUUGCUACGAAAGAGCACUCUAAUGAGACUGCCGGUGACAAACCGGAGGAAGGUGGGGAUGACGUCAAGUCCUCAUGGCCCUUAUGGGUAGGGCUUCACACGUCAUACAAUGGUACAUACAGAGGGCCGCCAACCCGCGAGGGGGAGCUAAUCCCAGAA